rnacentral:rRNA from 1 species
UACGUAGGGACCAAGCGUUGUUCGGAUUUACUGGGCGUAAAGGGCGCGUAGGCGGCGCGGUAAGUCACUUGUGAAAUCUCUGAGCUUAACUCAGAACGGCCAAGUGAUACUGCAGUGCUAGAGUGUGGAAGGGGCAAUCGGAAUUCUUGGUGUAGCGGUGAAAUGCGCAGAUAUCAGGAAGAACACCCGUGGCGAAGGCGGCUCUCUGGGACGGUACUGACGCUGAGACGCGAAAGCGUGGGGAGCGAACAGG